AGAGUUUGAUCCUGGCUCAGGAUGAACGCUAGCGGCAGGCUUAACACAUGCAAGUCGAGGGGGAUAGUUCUUCGGAACUAGAGACCGGCGCACGGGUGCGUAACGCGUAUGCAAUCUACCUUGUACAGGGGGAUAGCCCAGAGAAAUUUGGAUUAAUACCCCAUAGUAUUAUUGAAUGGCAUCAUUUAAUAAUUAAAGUUCCAACGGUACAAGAUGAGCAUGCGUCCCAUUAGCUAGUUGGUGUGGUAACGGCACACCAAGGCCACGAUGGGUAGGGGUCCUGAGAGGGAGAUCCCCCACACUGGUACUGAGACACGGACCAGACUCCUACGGGAGGCAGCAGUGAGGAAUAUUGGUCAAUGGGCGCAAGCCUGAACCAGCCAUGCCGCGUGCAGGAUGAAGCAUCUAUGGUGUGUAAACUGCUUUUAUACGGGAAGAAACCCUGCCACGUGUGGCAGAUUGACGGUACCGUAAGAAUAAGGACCGGCUAACUCCGUGCCAGCAGCCGCGGUAAUACGGAGGGUCCAAGCGUUAUCCGGAAUCAUUGGGUUUAAAGGGUCCGUAGGCGGCCCGGUAAGUCAGUGGUGAAAUCUCCCCGCUCAACGGGGAAACGGCCAUUGAUACUGCCGGGCUUGAAUUACCAGGAAGUAACUAGAAUAUGUAGUGUAGCGGUGAAAUGCUUAGAUAUUACAUGGAAUACCAAUUGCGAAGGCAGGUUACUACUGGUAUAUUGACGCUGAUGGACGAAAGCGUGGGUAGCGAACAGGAUUAGAUACCCUGGUAGUCCACGCCGUAAACGAUGGAUACUAGCUGUUGGGAGCGAUCUCAGUGGCUAAGCGAAAGUGAUAAGUAUCCCACCUGGGGAGUACGAACGCAAGUUUG
rnacentral:rRNA from 1 species